rnacentral:rRNA from 1 species
GACGAACCGUGCGAGCGUUGUUCGGAAUCACUGGGCUUAAAGGGCGCGUAGGCGGCCCGCCAAGUCCGGGGUGAAAUCCUCCCGCCCAACGGGAGAAGUGCCUUGGAUACUGGCGGGCUCGAGUGGGGUAGGGGCAUGUGGAACUUCCGGUGGAGCGGUGAAAUGCGUAGAUAUCGGAAGGAACGCCGGUGGCGAAAGCGACGUGCUGGACCCCCCCUGACGCUGAGGCGCGAAAGCCAGGGGAGCGAACGGG